GGAGAACAUCCCUAAAACAUAUCAUGCUUCCUUACACAACAAAAUCAUUGCUUUAAACAACUUUAUCACUCUCAUUUCCAACAAAAAAUCUUACAAAGAAAAAGAGAAAGAUACAGAAAUACCCACACAACAGAUUCAAUCAAUCCAGCUCUUUCUGAACUUUAAUCCCCAUAGAAUUCGCCGUCCCAAUAAUAGACUUACAAAUUGACUCCAAAGGCAUGUACUGGCAAAAAGGGUCACUCUGCUUGAUUUUCGCAAUUUCAUAAACGUGCUUUAGGGUUAACGUCGACGCUGUUACAUGGCCCGGGCGGCCACUUCCCAGAUCAAUUCCAGCGGCCUGCUUUAAGUACCAAGUUACUGACGGAGACUUAACGAUGAAAUCGAAAGUCCCAUCCUUGAAUGCGGUGAUAGUCACCGCCAUUGGUGUUCCAGCCUUGAACUUCUGGGUCCUAGCAUUGAAGUCCUUACAGAAUGCCAUGGAGUUCAGUUUGUACUGACCGAGAGCCGGACCUACUGGUGGUCCGGGCUUAGCUGCUCCCGCAUCGACGGUGAGACGGAUCGUGGCUGAGAUAGGGCGGCGUGUUAAGAUCUCUUUAAGCGUUGCCAUGGUUGAAAUGUG
rnacentral:misc_RNA from 1 species